rnacentral:rRNA from 1 species
CCUACGGGAGGCAGCAGUGGGGAAUAUUGUACAAUGGGGGGAACCCUGAUGCAGCGACGCCGCGUGAGUGAAGAAGUAUUUCGGUAUGUAAAGCUCUAUCAGCAGGAACGAGACAAGACGGUACCUGACUAAGAAGUCCCGGCUAACUACGUGCCAGCAGCCGCGGUAAUACGUAGGGGGCAAGCGUUAUCCGGAAUCACUGGGUGUAAAGGGAGCGUAGACGGCUGAGCAAGCCUGAAGUGAAAGGCGGGGGCCCAACCCCCGGACUGCUUUGGGAACUGUACGGCUGGAGUGCAGGAGAGGUAAGUGGAAGUCCUAGUGUAGCGGUGAAAUGCGUAGAUAUUAGGAGGAACACCAGUGGCGAAGGCGGAUUACUGGACUGUAACUGACGUUGAGGCUCGAAAGCGUGGGGAGCAAACAGGAUUAGAUACCCGGGUAGUC